UAGGCAUAAACAAGGCUAUGGGAGAUGAC
rnacentral:piRNA from 1 species